ACACAGCCAAAGUGUCUGAGAAUUAGGAGUUCAAGCUAUUGCUUACUGCAGUGAAAGCAUAUGCCUAAGCCAGUGCGCUCCUAUCCAAAGCGAGGAAGGUAAGGGGAAUUGUUUGUGUGUGUCAAAGCCUGCCUCAGCAGUGAGUAAUGUGAGCUGAUUAACUGGAACUAGCCCUGUACACCUGUGCAGCUCUUACUCCUGCCACUUAGUUCCGCAAAGAAGGCAAGGCGUUUCCUACCACUUGCGGGCUCGGGAUAACAUAGCCCUUCCCCCUCUUCUAACGCGUGUGGGCGGCGGCUCUGGGGGAGGUCAGUGUUGCUUGAAUGAACCCGGGACUUAAAGGGUUAACUCCCAUGCAGAACUCUUCAACAAAUGCUCCAGAAAGAAAGGCAAUGAUCUGAAGCACGACUGCUUAACUAAGGAAGUAGAAGCCAAAAAGUCAGACUCAAGAUAGUUUGAAUAUCUGAAAAUGACCCAAGGUGACUCCAACCUUCCUAUAGCUCCAGUGCUGGUUACCCUUCAUGCCAUGACAGUCAUAGAGUGUGACAGGGCUACUGUGUGAAACAGCAUCGAAGCAGAAUUUCCUGGUGUGAAGAGGUUCCCCGGGGCGGAUGUCUUCUCUCCAACCAAAGGGCUUGAUCCUGUGUGGUACAGGAAGCCUCUCCUAAACGUUUUCAACUCUCACUGAAGUUGUUAGAAAUGGAGAAUAACAUCUGCGAGUAGACUGUGACUUGGAUCACAUGCCUAUGUAGUCCAGAACCAGUAAAAGAGGGGCAGAUUCUGGAGGUUACACCGUUCACAAAGUAUUUUCCACUUUUGAAGGUAAGUAAUUCUGGUAGUUUCUUUUCUAUUCUUUAGCAAUAUCUGUUGUACCUCUGCAGAACAGACUGACUCUAACCCAAUGAACCUCUGAAGAAUCAAAUGUUGAGGUGUAAAGUUCUCAGACUGGGAUAUAGCAGUUGACCAAUGCCCUGUAAGAGAAGUUGAGGAAUGAUUGGAGGAUUUAUAUCUGGACUGAGCUAGCUGAAGCAGAUGCACAAAAACCGAGCUGCCGUCGAUGGGAGGACAGAAGGCAGAAGUUGCUGCCAAGUGGACCUUAAAUGAGGACAUCGCCAGAUCCUCUGACUUCAGGUGAAGAAUGUAAUCAAGAAUCUGCUGGAUAGGUAUAGAUAGAAGGUCGACACCUCUUGCCUCACACCACGACUGGAACCAACGCCAUUUGCGAAGGUGGCGGUUGAGCUUGCAGAGGUCCAGGAUAGGUCUCCAUCCUCCAGAUUUCUUUUGAGUGAGGCUGUACCAGGAAUAGAAGCCUUUUCCUCUGAAUUGAUACAGUACACUCUCCACAGCCCCGAUGGAACCAAAUCUCUUGAGCCUGAAUGGUGGAGUAUACAUUCCGAGUGUCCUCAGAGUGGUGCGAGAAUCUUUGCUGGAAUGAAAGACCUGAUCGGUGUUCUGAGCAAACAGCAACUGAUGAUCAAAGGAAUGGAGGAAGGAGCUCGUCCCAACUCAGUCUGCAGCUAUGGAUGGUUAGGAGGAACUGGCGGGCCGGACUGCACAUCGCAGAAAGGGCGCGAACGGUGUGAGAUGGCAUCUGCGCAUGCACGGUCCAGCAGGGGGCUACUGCUAAUGAAAUCUUUCCAGAAUGCAGCGCCGGAAUGAGCCCAACACCUUUCGUGGAGCACCAGCGGGGACACUACUCAACGAAGAACCUUUGAUUACAGUGUAAUCUUACCUUGAAAAUAAACCUCCAGUUUAUUAUUGCAAAAUAAAACAGACGGUACCAUUGUUACCUUUGAAUCAAAUUUACUCUUCACCUGAAUUUUAAAAGUGACCAUCUUUUCCCUUAUUCUGUUGGCCUACUUUAAUUCUCUGAAAAGCUCCAUCUUUAUUGGUUUGGAGGACCGAAAAUCUUCUGUACUUACAAAAUCAUCAACCUUUCUUUCUUCACUCUGUAUAGUGUUCUGCUUGUCUAGAGCUGCCCUCUACUGAUAAAUGUUUGAACUACAUAUGUCAAAUUAGGGCUUAAUUCUGUGAGGUGUUGACCACCUUCGACACCCAAGAAGUCCAAGAGAAUUGAAGGUGCUUAGCACCACCCAAAAGAGCACUCUGUACCUUAUAGGGUAAUCCCCUAAAUACAAAUAUUUGUAUUGUAUACGUUACUUUAAUUUAUCUCAUUAAAUAUUUGCAUCAGAGCUUGCCAGUUUUUUUUUGAAGCUAUCACUUACACUUCUCUUUCUGCCUAAUUAAGGUUUCAGUAAUCCUUUACCAUUGAAAUGGUAGCUAUUUUCAAGGACAUACUCUCUUGGAUUGUUCUGAGUAAUACUCUGUUGUAUGAAUGCCUAUAUGAAUGUGUUCAGCCAAACAGGAAUCAUUCAGAUUGUCUGUAAAGCACAGGUCAGUCAGUUUAAAGAGACAUGAUUGUUCUGAUUCUCUUCUUGCAGUGGUUUUACAUUGGUUUCAUUCCAUUUACUCUGAUGGAAUUAUACUGAUCAUUAAAGUUUGGGAGAAAGACAAUCCGACACACAAUAUUUUUUAAAAUUAAAUCUGCUUAUCCUGCAGUCAUUGAUUUCCAACCAUUGACUCCUUCCACAAAUUCUCCCACCUCUUUUUCUCAAGAUUUCAGUGGGAGUUAGAUGCCUAAGCAAUUUUGAAGAUCUAGGGUUUGCGGUCUUCUUCAAAAAACAGUUUCAUUCUUCUUCUUGACUAUUGUUUUCCAAGGCUGGAUUACCCAUAGAAAAAAAAAGAGCCCAGUACCCAUUGGCAGCACUACUAGCAGGCUCUGCUUAUAAGCUCCUACCCCUGACCCUCAGUGCCAUGCAGGAGGUAUUGGGGGGAAGGAGAGGAGUGGAGGCAGGACAGGAUGGAAUAGGGGUGGGAAAAGGUGGGGUUGGGUCCAACAAGUCCUGGAGAAAUGACAAAGUCGUCAUCUUGUGAUUCUUUCCUCCAACAUAUUCUCUCCUCUGCCACCAAGGUUUCUUGAUGCCUUCUGCUUCCCCUCCAUCCCUUCCCUCUUGCUUCCCAACCUGACGUGCUUUAAUUCAUAGAUUAUACAGCCAGACUAAACCAUUGUUACGCAGGUCAGACCAAUUGAUCACAUGGACCACAGGAUUUCCCUGCCUCAUUUUCUGUUUGGACUAGAGCACGGACUCCAAUCUGUUUAACCACAAGAUCACUUUUUCAAUUUAAGUGCAAUGUAAGA